GGUCCCGUAGCAUAACUGGUAGUAUAGUGUGCUCAUAACACAAAGGUCGAGGUUCAAACCCUCGCGGAACCG
rnacentral:tRNA from 1 species